AUUCCAGCUCCAAUAGUGUAUAUUAAAGUUGUUGCAGUUAAAAAGCUCGUAGUUGGAUUUCUGGCGGGAGCGAUCGGUCCUUCACUCAGUGUUGGAACCUGAUUGUCUCCUGCCAUCCAUGGAGAAAACUUAUCUGGCAUUAAGUUGUCGGGUAGGCAAUCUCCAUCUUUUACUGUGAAAAAAUUAGAGUGUUCAAAGCAAGCUUAUGCCGUUGAAUAUAUUAGCAUGGAAUAAUAAGAUAGGACUAUGGUACUAUUUUGUUGGUUUGUGCACCAUGGUAAUGAUUAAUAGGGACAGUUGGGGGUAUUCGUAUUCCAUUGUCAGAGGUGAAAUUCUUGGAUUUAUGGAAGACGAACUACUGCGAAAGCAUUCACCAAGGAUGUUUUCAUUG
rnacentral:rRNA from 1 species